rnacentral:rRNA from 1 species
UACAGAGGUCUCAAGCGUUGUUCGGAAUCACUGGGCGUAAAGGGUGUGUAGGCUGCGUGUUAAGUCAGAUGUGAAAUCCCGGGGCUCAACCUCGGAACUGCAUCCGAUACUGGCAUGCUAGAGAAUUGGAGAGGAGUCUAGAAUUCACGGUGUAGCAGUGAAAUGCGUAGAUAUCAGGAGGAACACCGGCGGCGAAGGCGGCCCUCUGGAUCGUUGCUGACGCUGAUACGCGAAAGCGUGGGGAGCAAACAGG